GGGAAUGGCGGCGUGCUACUAAUGCAGUCGAGCGAGCUGAUUAAAAUCUUGCUUCUAUAUACAUUUUUCGGCCGAUCGGUGAGUAACACGUGUGCAACCUGCCUGUAAGACUGGGAUAACUCCGGGAAACCGGAGCUAAUACCGGAUAAUAUUUUCUCUUGCAUAUCAGAAAAUUGAAGGAUGGUUUCUGCUAUCACUUACGGAUGGGCCCGCGCCGCCGUCCCUAUUUGGUGAGGUAACGGCUCACGCUUGCCACGAUGCAUAUCCGACCUGAGAGGGUGAUCGGCCACGCUGGGACUGAAACUCAGACCAGACUCCUACUGGAGGCAGCAGUAGGGAAUCUUCCUCAUUGGACGAGAGUCAGACCGAGCAGCGCCGCGUGAGUGAGGAAGGCUUUCGGCUCCUAAAACUCUGUUGUUAUGGAAAAACAAGUACUUUAAUAACUGCUUGUACCUUGGACGUACCUUAACAGAAGGCACGGCUAAUACGUGCUAGCAGAGCCGCCGGUAAAUACGUUAGGUGGCAGAGCGUUAUCCCGGAAUACUCUGGCCGUGAAAGCGGGCAUAUGGUCUUGAGUUCUGAUGAUGAAGCCAGGUCUCAACCGUGAGGAUGCAUUGGAAACUGGGAAGCUUGAUGCGAAGAGAAGGGAAUUCUACGUGUACGGUGAAGAUGCGUAGAGAUGUGAGAACACUCGUGCUGAUAGGCUGGCUUUGGUCUGUAUACUGACGGUGAGGCGGAAAGCGUGGGAGCAACAGGAUUAAUACCUGGUAUCACGCCGUAUAACGAUGAGUGUAAGUGUUAGAGGGUUCGCCCUUAGUGCUGCCAGUCCCAUAACAUCUCAGCCUUGGGGAGACGUCCUAGGAUGAUGCAGGAAUGGACGGGCCCGCUCAAAGGUGGAGCAUGUGUUAAUUCAGCAACGAAACCCUACCAGGUCUGCUCCUCUGAACUAGAGAUGAGCGUUCCCUUGGGGGAAAGUGCAGUGGUCAUGGUGUUGUCAGUGGUCUGUCCGUGAAUGAUGGUAUCCCGCACGGCCCAACCCGUUAUUCUUAGUUGCCCUGACCAUGUAUUGGCGCUAUUAAGGACUGCCCGGGUGGCAUGACCGGAGGAAGGUGGGGAAGGAGUCAAAUUCUCCUGCCCCUUAUGACCUGGGGUACACACGUGGUACAAAGGAUGGUACAAAGGGGUGCACGACCGGGAGGUCAAGCCAAUCCCAUAAAACCAUUUUCCGUUUGGAUUGUAGGGUGCAAAUUGCCUACCUGAAGCUGGAAUCGCUUGUAAUCGCGGAUCAGCAAGCCGCGGUGAAUACGUUCCCGGGCCCUGUACACACCGCCCGUCACACCCCGAGAGUUGGUAACACCCGAAGUCGGUGGGGUAACCCCUAUGAGCCAGCCGCGUAAGUGAUCAAUGUG
rnacentral:rRNA from 2 species